GAAUCCUGUAUAGUAUACGAAUUCAUUCUAAAUCUAUAUACAUGAAGAUGGUCAUGGGCAGUUUAAAACAAAAAUAUAAUCACAGUAUAUUCAGAACAUUAACACAACUUACAUUUGACAUAAUAAUGAUAAUAUUCGAUAUCAAAAUACUACUGAUAUUCUCGAUUGUCCAUAAGUACACUUGUAAGUUACUGUAUUUGAUAUUCUAUGUGGUUGAAGUUUUAUGUAAUUGAUUUUUUAUAGGAUUUGGAAGAAGGAUUUGCGGCUGUAUACGCAGAGAAGAAACAACUUCAAGUUCUUAACGUUAGUUUGGAGAAGGAAAGAGACAGUCUAUCAGCUCAGAUCAACGAAAACUAUCAUCAGGUAAAAGAAUAAGAUGCAAUAUUGUUAGAAAAAUAAAACUAAAUAUUACAUAUCAACUGUUCCGCAAACAUUGUUUUUUAAUCGAACAUAAUCUGCAAUCAUUAUUUGCUUUAAUAGGAUGAUUAGUUUUUAUCACUAACUUUCCUAAUUCAAAAGUCGACUGAGGUAACGCGAAUCAAAGGACAAAUUUCGUGCUUUUAUGAAGAAUGAAUUUACGAUCAGCAAUUUCUUUUUUGAAUGUCAACUAUGAUCCCUGAAGUAUACAUACCUGGAAAUGAAUUGAUUUAUAUUUUAGGGUCGAGAGCAUAGUUUGUCAGAUGAGGGUCAAGACCUAGAAUGGGACCAAGAGAUAGAUCUAGACCAGGAACCGAUUCAGGACUUCACAGAGGAUGACAACCAAGAACUAGAAUGGGACCAAGAGAUACCGGUCCAGAAACCAAAGCCUUGCUUCACCGAGGAGAACCAGGAUCUAGAAUGGGACAAAGUGAUCAAAUCAGUCCAGAGCAAAUCGUACCAAUCUCCCUCUAGUAGUCUCGAAAUAGAAAAACACGGACCGAAAUUCAAACUCAGGAAGAGCCCCCAACAUUGCCAGGUACGAGCUUUUCUAUUUACUACAUCAUGUUGUCUGGGAUGGUUAGUUUUAAAAUGGCAAUCUAAAAAAAAAAUAAAACAUGGAGAAUUAUUAGCAUUUUCACAAAUGAUCAGAACAGGUACAUGCACAUGAAUUGUAAACUUGGUUAUUUAUAAUCCUUUUUUUAAUGAACAUUAAUUUCAUUCAUAUUCAAUGUCAUGAUUGUGUCAGAUUAAAGAACACGCAUUAAUAUUCACAUCCUGUAGGUGCUUGAUCAAACAUUCGAGAGAAAGAAAACCAUCAAGAAACAAUCUAGCAAUCAGACAGAGAAUGGAGACGGUCUAUCAGUCAAACUUCAGGAGGCAAACAAUAAAUACCAGGAGCUGGAGCAAGAAUGCGAACUGUUGCUAGGUGAGAAGCUUGAGUUUCAAGCUCUAGCAGACAGCCUGGCUGAAGAUAAUUACAAGCUAUCAUCUCAGAUUGGACAAGAGUACGAGGAAAGACGUAACUUGGAAGACAAACUGAAUUGUUUAGAGGAAGAAGUUGAAAAGCAAGAACUUUCUACAAAGGACGAAAAAGUCAUCAUUUCCACCUCACUCGAGUCUGUGCAAAAUCAAUGCAAGGUA